GAGACCCUUUAGAAAAGACCCGUUGGUCGACGUAACGGGUCUCUUUAAUUUAAGAGAUCUAAUAUUAUAGAUAACGGCUCUCUUAUGAGUUAAAUGGCCCAUUAAAAUUAGAGGGGUGAAAAAUAAAAGACCUGUUAUCUGAUUUAACGGGUCUCUAGCGUAUAAAAGGGGCCAUUUAAAUGCCGUGCAAAAUAAAAUAAAAGAAGCAAUAAACCCUUUAUUUACUUAACGGGUCUCUUAUGUAUCAAGGGACCCACCACUUCUCGUAAAAAAUAAUUGGAAAAUAGCAAAAGAGCCGUCAUUUAACAUAACGGGUCUCUAUUUUCAUUCAUUUCCUGGCGCCAAGACUUUCGCAAAACCCAAUUUCACCCUAGGUUUUUCUUUUCCCUCUUUCUUCUUCCCUGGACAUACAACCCCUAGGUUUUUUCUUUGCCUCUUUCUUCUUCCCUGGACAUACAACCUAAGGCAACCAUCGACGAAUUCAUUGACGAACUCACCACUACCAACGGCUAAUCGGAGAACUAAGUUACGAUUGGCGACUUCACUCCCACUGGCGACCUCGACACAAUCGCUAGCAAACUACAAAUUUAGGUGUUUAAUAGAUACAAUGGUGUGAUUGAUGGAGUCCAGUUCUCAUCACAUGACCCUGUAGGUGGCCUACUAGCUAGAUCUACCCAUUGAUCCAUCUGCUGGUAUUCGUUGUGCAGAGGUUUGUUUCUUGUUGAAGGUAAGGUGUAAGGGAAGUUCACAUUUGGAAACCAGCCAAACAGUGUUGGAGGAGAACAUAUGCUUGUGCCCGCAUUGGCUAAUAAUUAGUAUUGUCAAUUUGUUGAUGCUUGUCACAAUUAUGUAAACUUUUGAGCCUUAUUUUAUUUUGUUAUUUUUAUAUUUUUGAAGAUUACAAUUGAUGUAAAGUGGGAAAUAAUUUAAUGGGUAAUUGUAAGAAUUAGUUUGAAAUUAAAAAUUUGGUUAAAUGCUGAUUUUUUAUGCCGAAAAAUGGUCGUUUAUGCUAUUUUUUUUUUUAAUAAAAGUUAAUGAAAAGAGACCCGUUAGGUAUAAAAAGGGCUCUCUCGAGUAUAAUAAUAAAAAAUAGUAAAAUAUUCUAAGAGACCCUCUAUCUAACAUAUGGGGUCUGAAUUUGUUAAUUAUAAUAAUAUUAAAAAAUUCAAAGAGACCCUUUAUCUUACAUAUGGGGUCUGAGUUUGAUGGAAAAAAUAUUAUUUAAAAAUUCAAAGAGACCCCCUAGGUUAAAUAUUAGGUCUGAAUAUUUUUGCAAACAUACCCCAUAUCUCUAAUAAGGGGUCUCUUCUUCUUCUACAUUAUUUUUUACAUGGUUAACGUAACAUACCCCUUUUCUUAAAUAACGGGUCUCUUGUUUUUAACAAACAGACCCCCUCUAGAUGAGGGGUCUCUUUUAUAAAGAGACCCCCCUAUCUAGAGACCCCCUUAAAUGGGGUCUCUUAGGCCAUUUUGAACGGGUCUCUUUGCCUAUUU